rnacentral:rRNA from 1 species
GACGAACGCUGGCGGCGUGCCUAAUACAUGCAAGUCGAACGCAGUGGGGACGGGUGAGUAACACGUGGGUAACCUCCCAUCAGAGGGGAUAAAACUUGGAAACAGGUGCUAAACCGAUACUGAUGGAUGAACCCGUGGUGCAUUAGCUAGUGGUUGAGGUAACGGCUCACCAAGGCCACGAUGCCUAGCCGACCUGAGAGUGUGAUCCGCCACACUUGGACGGAGACACGGCCCAGACUCAUACGGGAGUCAGCAGUAGGGAAUCUUGGGCAAUGGACGAAAGUCUGACCGAGCAACGCCGCGUGAGUGAAGAAGGUUUUCGGAUCGUAAAACUCUGUUGUUAGAGAAGCGGUAUCUAACCAGAAAGCCACGGCUAACUACGUGCCAGCAGCCGCGGUAAUAC